rnacentral:rRNA from 1 species
GGAGGGUGCAAGCGUUAUCCGGAUUUACUGGGUUUAAAGGGUGUGUAGGCGGAUUAUUAAGUCAGUGGUGAAAUCCCGGGGCUCAACCCCGGAACUGCCAUUGAUACUAUUAGUCUUGAAUAUCGUUGAGGUUUGCGGAAUAUGUCAUGUAGCGGUGAAAUGCUUAGAUAUGACAUGGAACACCGAUAGCGAAGGCAGCAAACUAAGCGAUUAUUGACGCUGAGGCACGAAAGCGUGGGUAGCGAACAGGAUUAGAUACCCUGGUAGUCCACGCCCUAAACGAUGAUUACUGGACCUUGGCGAUAUACAGUCGGAGUCUGAGCGAAAGCAUUAAGUAAUCCACCUGGGAAGUACGUCCGCAAGGAUG